rnacentral:rRNA from 1 species
UGCCAGCAGCCGCGGUAACACGGGGGGCGCAAGCGUUAUUCGGAAUUAUUGGGCGUAAAGCGCGUGUAGGCGGUUCGUUAAGUCUGAUGUGAAAGCCCGGGGCUCAACCCCGGAACUGCAUUCGAUACUGGUAGACUAGAGUUUGGGAGGGGUAAGCGGAAUUCCGUGUGUAGCAGUGAAAUGCGUAGAUAUACGGAGGAACACCUGAGGCGAAGGCGGCUUACUGGACCAAUACUGACGCUGAGACGCGAAAGCGUGGGGAGCAAACAGGAUUAGAUA